rnacentral:misc_RNA from 1 species
GCUGCAGAAACGCUUUGGAAUAGCUAAGAUGGAAGGAAAGGCUUAUGUCGGACAGGACGUAGUUUGUGAGGGCGAGUUUUUGAUGGCUAUGGGUAGUGAAUAAUCUACUAGUUUUGAUAUUUCUUGCAAUUUGUUGUUUUCAUCUUGCUUUCUCCUUUUCGUUAGUCUAAAUUUUUUUGGGUAGGACUUGGGAGAGGUUGGGGACAGUCAGGGUGCAGUCAAGUUUAGCUACUUCUCAUCAAAGAAUGUGAAUGGAUUUUUCCAUUUUAGUUAAGUAAUUGGCCUCUGCAAGAUCAUCUUCGCAUGUGUAGGGUUUGUCUUUCAUCGGCAUUCAAUUCUUGUAGGGCAUAUCAAGGCUGUUACUAAUCAAAGUGACUCAAAUUUUCAGUUGAGUGUUUUGAAAUGAGAAAUUCAAUUCUUUAUAAAUUUAAA